GACAGAGGUGCCAAGCGUUAGGCGGAAUCACUGGGCUUAAAGCGUGUGUAGGCGGAAUUGUAAGUACCUUGUGAAAUCCCACGGCUCAACCGUGGAACUGCUUGGUAUACUGCUUUUCUUGAGCCACUUAGGGGCUGUCGGAACAAACGGUGGAGCGGUGAAAUGCGUAGAUAUCGGAAGGAACACCGGUGGCGAAAGCGGCGCGCUGGACCUCUUCUGACGCUGAGGCGCGAAAGCCAGGGGAGCAAACGGG
rnacentral:rRNA from 1 species